UUGCUUGUUGGUAAACAUAAACAACUGAAAAAUGCCUUCUGGUAAAUUAAACAUAUUUAUCAAUUUUAAAGAAUCUGCAAAUAUUUCCACAUCGUAGUCCGGUUAAAUUAUCCUAGUUUUCAUCGAAUGCCAAACAAGUUAGCUUUUCGUCUUCUGACGCUUGGUGGGAAAUUUUUCUGGAUUGACGUGGAUAUGUUUUUUAAUUGUUUUUUGUUAUCUAAUACAGAAUAAACUCCUUAAAUUUGACAAUAAAACAUCUAAAUUUGGGAUUCCAAGAUUUGGUUUCUCUUAU